UGUGGUGUCCUCAGUGAAAGUGUGGUGCAGCUGUUCGUCUUUUGAUGUCACAAAGGCAUACUGUACUGCUGAAGGAGAAAACCUCCUUUUUAUCUGGAAAACUAAUUUAAAUUCACGUACUCAGCUAGAGGAUGUGAACAGGACUUUACUGAUGGAUAAAAACCCUUAUGGAAACAUUACCUGCCAUGUAGAAAACCAUGUCAGCUAUGCACGCAACACUAUUGAGCUACUCCCAUGUCCAGCUUUCACAGUGUUUUUGUCUGUGUGGCUUUUUGAAGUCAUCAUUCUUCUAUCACUAAUUGUGGGAGCAUUUUAUAUCUACACUAGACUCUACAAGAAACUGACAGUAACACAGAAUCAGGAACUUUGUAAACCCGAAGUAGGAUCAGAAGAAUCAGUCCAUGGUUGAUCUCCUUCAUACAGCAACUAAACGACCCUUAACCACCAGAUAAUGUAUAACCAUCAAUAACUGAUGGGUUACAGAGAAAUCCAGUUUUAUUUGUCAAUCCACAUCUAGUUUGUAGCACUGCCACAUAAAGGGCACUUUUAUAAGGCGAAAGUACGUCGGCCCAAAUGAUAAAAUAAGCUGCAGCGCCUUAUUAAUUUUUCAGCGCCUUAUUAAUUUUUCAAAAACUAUGAAUGUUUCGAAAAACAAGUUUUC